GAGAGAGAAAUGUUAUUCUACUUAAAAUUUAAUAUUUUAGUUGGAGUGAGUCUCAACUAUUUUUUUUACAUACUAAAAGUGCCGCAUUUCUUUAAAAAUAAAAAUAAAACUGGACACAUUUCUUUAAAAAAUAAAAAUAAAAAUGCGCACAUUGGUUUAUGUUCAAAUUGUUUCCUUGGUAGAAGAACUUGUGAUAUACUUCAAAUAAAAUGUACUCAAUAAAACCAUCUGCAAAUUCUUGGACAAAAACAAGGGGAUAAGAAUCUGCUGGCAUUCGAGUAGUAGUUUGAGAAUGCUGUUUUGACCAUUAUUGUCUACAUUUGAAUUUUAUAAAUAGGAAUACCAAAAGGUUAUAACUAUGACAAGUAUAGCUAACAUAAAUUCAUAUGUUGCACCACUUAAGUCUAACACGUUACAGCUAUGGUGAUAUGAGAGUACGUAUAACUCUAACCCAUAACUUAUUAUAAAGAAGCCGACGAUCUUUUAUGCACUAAUACAAAAAUUUCAUUUCCCACAUUGAAGUACGUCGAUUUUUAUAAAUAAAAAAAUUCUUAAAGUUUGUCCCACGUUUCACUCAAAUUGAUAGUGUGCAUAUUUCAUGGAGUGUAAGUUUAAUCAUAAAGACUGCUUACUCAUUUUGGCAAAAGGAAAACCCUUAAAACCAAAUAAUAUUGACAUUGAUCUUUCUAGAAAAGGGAAAAAAAAACAGUGAUAUUGAUAUUGCAACUAAAUUGGUUCACAUAUUGAUAUUGUAACUGAAUUAAUUGGUUGACAGCUUGAUUUGCAACAAAAUUCAUAAAAACAAGUUACUCAUGUAACCCUGUCAAUGUCAGUUUUGCGUGAUGUGCCACUCAUAAGAAAGAAAUGAGAUAUUUAUUCAAAAACCUAUUUUAACACGACAUAUUAUACAAAAAGUCAUAUAAAAAGUCAUAUAGAGUAAUGAAAAUAAUUUAAUCAACCCUUUUGGUGGUGGAUUGUAGUGAAGAAGAAAGUGAAUCGUUAGGUACCUUUGAAUACAAAAACAACACUUGCAUUGUGAAAUUUGUUGGAGUGUUACCGUCAAAUCAAAUUAGUAACUUCGAAUAUUAUACGCAUACAUACAUAAUUUUUUAAAAGUAUUUCAAUUUUUCAUACACUACUUAAUUAUAUGGAAAAAUAUGCAUUUCUGCAAUAAAAAAUAUAUAUCAUUUACGUAUUAUACAUGCACAUACUUAUUUUUCUUGAAUAAAUAUAUGUUUUUUCAACUAUCUUGCAAUAAUACACAUAUUAUUUGUGUAUUGUAUCCAUAUUUUUUCACGUACUGAUGAAAAGAAGAUUAAAAAUAAAUAAUUAUAAAAUGACUGGAUUUUUCACCAUAUAUUUUUAAAAACUUUAACAAAUAAUAUACAUACGUAUUUUAUACAUAUUAUACACAGUGGCAGAGUAAGAAAAUUUAUCAAGGAGAGUCAUCCUUAAAUAGCAGAGUGAAAAUUUUACUCAAUGGAUUGACUCAUUUGUUAAAAAAAUCCCGAGAAAUCUUAGAAAUUUGAGGUGUGUUUAUGUCUUAGAAAAAAGCCCCUACUAGAGCCCAGAGGGAUUUUGUAGUGUAUUUGGUUGAGCAACCUCAAAAGAUGAAAAUGAUCUGCCCAUGUAAUAUAGAAAAUAAUUGAGUCAAAUACAACACAUACAAAACACAAAGGGUGAGAAGGGUGAGAAGGGUCAAGUGACCCUUGUGGGCCUUCAUUGGCUCCGCCCAUGAUUAUACACAUCUCAUAUUUUACUAAUUAUGCUAGCAAACAUUUCGCUACAAACAUAGUUAGCUUGAUUUAAAAAAUGAUAAUACAUAGCUUUCAAAAUAAUUAGACUCCCCUCUGUAAAUCCUCAAAGAUACCUUAAUAUGCCCUGUUUUUGAAAUAGGGUAGCCUCCCCUCUCCCUAAACUUUAUAUUGAUUUUUACAACUGAUGGCCUAUUUGAAUUAUAUAUGAAUGCAAUUUAUCGUAGAAAUUUCAGAACCAUGUAUUUGUGGCUAGGUAUUUAGAUUUUGGCUAAGUUUAUUGGUAAAAGAACUCACAAAAUAGUCUGCUAAUAAUUUACAAUACUAAAAUGUAUAAAGUCUAAAAAAGAAUUAUACUUGUUUUGAAUUUAAGAAGCAAAGGAAAACCAACUUGGUUUGGUCACCAAUCCUCUAGAAGCAAAGGAAUUAUCCAACGUGAAUUUAAUAUAAUACAAUGGAGUUGCUUAUAUAUGUACGGUGUUAAAUUAUCAUCCCCUUAUAAAUAAAUAAUAUAUAUCAAACCCCACAGCCAAAUUGGGGUUUUAAAAAUAGAAAAAAAAAGGAAGAAAGAGAAAGAAGAAAGCUACUUUUAUAAUUAUUAAAGAGCUUCACUUAGACAGCUAUCGUCGUGCUUAUGGCUAUGAUGUAGUAUAGUAGAUAUCAAUUAUAUACCAUUAUAAAUACAUAGUCCAAUGUUCUCCGAAAAAUAUCAUAAAUUUAAAUUC
rnacentral:lncRNA from 1 species